rnacentral:lncRNA from 1 species
UGAAAUCCAAACAUUUUUGGUCCCAGGUAUUUCAAAUAAGGCAUAUUCCACGUGUACUAGGGUGUUUUGCUUGAUUAGAAUAACAUGUGCUGUGCCAAUCUUGUUUUACUUGAGUGUUCUCAUCUGUGAAACAAUCUUUUUCCUUUCUACCAGCGUAUCAAAAUAAACAGAAAUGUUUAGUAAGAUUUGCCUACUUUCUUAGAAUUGGCAUUAAGAAUUUAAUAAUUUGGAGGCCUGGAAGACUCUAGAACUCUACUUACAUUUCAAGUUGGAGAUCUUCCAGCUUGAAAUAUUUUUCAAGCUGAAAGGUACCAAGGAGAAGAAAGGCACGGAAAUUCUUCCAUCUCAUAUGAAAAAGCAUUCAAGACUAGGAGGACGCUGUGUAAGUGUACACCCGAAAGAGCACAGGGUACUACUCUUUGGACUUUGGAAGUAAGGUUGCUUAUCAGCUGACCUUAAAGUAGGGAGAUGAGUCUGCGUUACCCAGGUGGGCCCAAUGUAAUCACAUGAGCCCUUAAAAGUAGAAGAGAAAGGCACAGGAAUGAGUCAGAGAGACGUGGCCAAACUGAAAGAUGUUUUAAUGCUGAAACAGAGGAGACACACUAUUAUUCGAAGGAGGCUAGCGGCCACAUGAAAAACACGGAAGGAAUGUGAAUACCUUAGGAGCAAGAUUUCACGGCUGGCAGCCAACAGAGAAAUGGAGGCUUCUGUUCUACCACCACAUGGAACUGAAUUCUGCCUGAAAAUGAGGUCUCUGUAUGUUGCCCAGACUGGUCUUGAAUUCCUCAACUCAAAGGAUUCUCCCACUGUGGCCUCUCAAAGUGCUAGGAUUAAAGGUAUGAACCACCAAAUCCAGCCAAAAAUUGAUUUCUGAAUUAAAGAAAAAAGUUAACUGACAUAAUACUGUCUAUAUUUAUUUUCUUAUUUCAUCUCAACGAAAUGCUCAUUUAUAGGCAGUAAAGUUUGUUGCUGAAGUGUUGCUUUAUUCAUAAUGAACAGUAAUAUGAAGAAAAGUAAAAAGUACCUAAUCAAGAUAAUUUUCUUUUUUACUUAAAGACCAGUGUGAUAGUAUAAGUUCUUUUUUUAAAGAAUUAUUUAUUAUACUUUAAGUUUUGGGGUACAUUAGCAGAAUGUGUAGGUUUCUUACAUAGGUGGUUUGGUGCACCAUGGUGGUUUGCUGCAUCCAUCACCUCGUCAUCUACAUAUC